rnacentral:rRNA from 1 species
CAACCUACCUUCUACAAGAGGAUAGCCCAGAGAAAUUUGGAUUAAUACUCUAUACGAUCAUUAACUGGCAUCAGUCAAUGAAGAAAACUCCGGUGGUAGAAGAUGGGCAUGCGUCCUAUUAGUUAGUUGGUAAGGUAAUGGCUUACCAAGACUUCGAUAGGUAGGGGUCCUGAGAGGGAGAUCCCCCACACUGGUACUGAGACACGGACCAGACUCCUACGGGAGGCAGCAGUGAGGAAUAUUGGACAAUGGAGGCAACUCUGAUCCAGCCAUGCCGCGUGCAGGAUGACGGCCCUACGGGUUGUAAACUGCUUUUAUACAGGAAGAAUUAUGCCUACGUGUAGGCAUUUGACGGUACUG